rnacentral:lncRNA from 1 species
AAGUAUAAAAAUUAAAAGGAGUAUUCUUAGCAAUCUAUAGGAAGUACCUCAUGUAUUGCUAGAGUUUUUCCAGUUGAUUCAGUUCAAUUUAUGUCUACUCUCAGUGGAUAUAUAAAUAUCUUUGUAUAUCUGGGAAUAUGUUUUACAUUGGGUUUAAUAUAAGUGAGCUGGUAGGAAUCCUUCAGCUAGCACUUAGAAUUACCAUUUUGGGAUAGGAGCCAAAUUUUUUAAUAGCUACCCAAAAAACACUUCUUAAGACUUAGUUUAAGCCAAGAAGUAGAGAAAAUUACAGGUAUAACCACAUUAAAACUUAAAGUAAAUUUGCAUAGUAGGGUACGUUGAUCCAGACUAAAUUGAGGCAGCCUACAGGCUAACACACUUCAGCUUAAGAAGCAACUACCUGAAACUCACUUUGGGAUUCACUUUCCCAAAAAGGCACUUGGAGUGGGAAAAAGUCUUUAAGUAUGUAUUAAAUAUUUUAAUUGCACAAGCUUGUAAGAUAGUUUUGACAUUAAUACCUCUACUAAAAAACAAAUAUAUCAAAAAAUUCAUACUUUUCCUUAAAAAAAUCACUACACUGCAAAAUGGUCAUGUUUAGUGAAUUAAGAAUUGUACCAGAUAAUAAGCAGUAUCUGGCGCUGAAAAAACAAAUUAAUGCAUUGGGC